UACGUAGGUCCCGAGCGCUGUCCGGAUUUAUUGGGCGUAAAGCGAGCGCAGGUGGCUUGUUAAGUCUGGUGUAAAAGGCAGUGGCUCAACCAUUGUAUGCAUUGGAAACUGGUAGACUUGAGUGCAGGAGAGGAGAGUGGAAUUCCAUGUGUAGCGGUGAAAUGCGUAGAUAUAUGGAGGAACACCGGUGGCGAAAGCGGCUCUCUGGCCUGUAACUGACACUGAGGCUCGAAAGCGUGGGGAGCAAACAGG
rnacentral:rRNA from 1 species